rnacentral:lncRNA from 1 species
CGAUAUCAAGAAAUUGUCUGUUCAAAUAUUACUAAUUCUUGGGAACUUCCAGAGCAACAUGGCGCACACUGCCUUUAUUGGUCCCUGAAAGGGAGAAAGACACUUUUUUAGUAACCUGUGCUGGUGUCAUCACAUGCGGCCUGAGAUCACUGAGGGGGAUGUUCUCCAAAAUGUGCAAAGUGUAGGUGAGUUUGCCGCACUGCCUUUGUGAUCCAGAUUCCUGCAUCAGUUCACAUGAAACUGAAAUGGAGACAAUGGUAAUUUCUGGGUGAAGAAUACAUGAGGAAGGAGACACAAUUAAAGAAUUACAUCAAAUACACUGGAGUAAUGGUUUCAGUGAGAAAAGAGCCUGCCCUGGGGAUCAACACGCACAGAUGUGACUGUCCCAAGGUUGCUGGGUGGCCUGGAACUUCUUGGUGCAGAUUCUCCAGAAUGGGUGCCCUGGCCUUAGCUCUGAAAAUGACCCUUUUCCAGGCCACACUAUGUGUUGCUUCAACAGCACUAAACCCAAGGUAAGUACAGAUCAACCUCUUGAGCUGCCCUGACCCACUGGGUCUCAGAGCCUGGAGAGAGUAAAUGUCAUGUUCUUCUGGAGAAAUUGAGGCCCCCAGUUUGGGAGUGACUUUCCCAAGGUCACACAGAGACUAAAGUUAGUCUCUAAAGCUGUCCUGUAAUUAUUAAACUUGCUGAACUUUCAAAGCAGCUCACUAAUAUCUUUCUUCCAUCUCCCUGGCCAUGGGAGACCCUGAACAUGGGGCCUUUCUGCCAUGUGUGAAGCACAUGACUUGUUACAGAGUGGUUUUUAUGGCUGACUCCCAACCUUCUAUUCCACCCAGCUAAUUAGUUGAAGCCACCUGGAUAGGGCAAUUAGCGCAAGCUUCAGGAACAAAUAACCCUAAAAUUUGAGUGGCUUGACAUAAUACCUUUAUGUGUCUAGACCAGCAUUUGGCCUCUUGUGAAGUGAUUCAGGAAUUCAGAUCUCUACUUCUCUACUGUGCUGCCAUCUUUUCAGGCAUCUUUUAAUCUCUACCUCUCUACUGUGCUGUGAGUCUUCUGCCUUCAGCUGCUGAUGAAAGUGAGUGUAGAGGACCACACAAGACAUUUUAUGGACAGGCC